GAGAAGGAGAGAGAUGAGGAGAGAGGAACAAGAGAAGAGGAAGGGAGAUGUUGUUAUUUUUGGUGCUCCUCCAAUUUGUCAUAUUGAGAGAACAAAACACAUGACUUCAGUUGGUUCAUUCUUCCGUUUCUCUGCCAAAUUUUAUCGGGCACAAGGGUCGACAGAGAUUUCAUUCAGCCAAAAAGAUGAGAGAGUUGGAAUUGAAAUAAAAUUACGUGGUUU
rnacentral:ribozyme from 13 species